GAUUUUGAUGACGUGAUGAGGAAGACAAGAGAGCCUCUAUAGCGCAUGCUGGGACUGUGCCGCGCAUGGCAUGCUGGGACGAUGGAAUGGGUUUGUGGCGGAUGAAGCUGUUGCUGUCAUAAGUGCGAGAGGAACUGGCGUGUUGCUGUGUCGGGAUGUAUCAGAGCAGCACGCAGAGGCGUUAUUGGACCUUUCGCAGCGAGGAGGAACUCAUUCGGCACCGGGCCGAUGCGAACCUCAGGUUCCGGUGCAAAGUGGCGGCCAAUAGGAAGGUUCAACAGAAUGACUCAUUUAUUCUUGAGUCUCAUGAAGAGUUGACAAUUUGUAAAUAUUAUGAAAAAAGAUUACUGGAUUUCUGUGCUGUCUUCAAGCCGGUAAUGCCGAGAUCUGUUGUGGGAUCUGCUUGCAUGUACUUCAAACGUUUUUAUCUCAAUAACUCAGUGAUGGAGUAUCAUCCUCGUGUGAUUAUGUUAACGUGUGCAUUUUUGGCAUGUAAAGUUGAUGAAUUUAACGUAUCCAGUGCACAGUUUGUUGGUAACCUUCGUGAAAGUCCAAUAGGCCAGGAAAAGGCCUUGGAACAGAUCUUGGAAUAUGAAUUGCUACUUAUUCAGCAGCUGAAUUUCCACCUUAUAGUGCAUAAUCCUUACAGGCCAUUUGAAGGCUUUUUGAUUGAUCUGAAGACUCGUUAUCCAUUGCUUGAGAAUCCUGAGGUACUGAGGAAAACAGCGGAUGACUUUCUUAACCGGGUAGCUUUGACAGAUGCCUGCCUUCUAUAUACACCUUCUCAAAUUGCUCUCACUGCUGUCCUCUCUAGCGCGUCCAGGGCAGGAAUCAGUAUGGAAAGUUACUUGUCAGAAUGUCUAAUGCUGAAAGAGAACAAAGCUUCCCUCUCACAGUUACUGGAUGGCAUGAAAUGCAUGAAAAAUCUGGUAAAGAAAUACGAGCCUCCCCAUCCAGAAGAAGUUGCAGUUCUGAAGACGAAGCUAGAGACCUGUCAUCGUUUGGAACUUGCUCUUAACCCAAACACGAACUGAGAUUUCAAACCAGGAUUAAAGUGAGGCUUCGAAUCCCAAUUCCUUAAAAAAACAAAUAAAGAGGUUGAAGUAUUGAAAGAAAUUGAAGGGGAAACAAUGGCACUGAGGACUAACUUGUUCACUAACAAUUUUGUAUUUGUGGGGUUGGUGUUAGGAAGAAGAGGAAGGGCAAUGAAGAACAUGAAUACUUUACAAAGAAAUCAAAAAUGGAUGAGGAUGAAUGGACAGAUGAUGAUUUCAUAGAAUGACAGUAACUGUCCUUGGAGAUGACAUCUUGAACUUAGAGGAAUUUAGAUUGUUACAAUUGAUUGCACAGUUCUCCUGUUGCUACUGUAAUAAAGAACUUUUUAAAAUAAAA